UGGCCUGGUGCUCCCAAAGCCUGACCCACCAGGUGGGAAUGGGGAUGGCAAUGAAGCCAGUUUAAGGCAAGGAAGAUGGCCUGCAGAAGGUACUGGAACAUUCAGAGGGUGACUUUUGGUGGCUUCAGCAUCACCCCUGGCUCCACAGUCUGGUAGAGUUAUGGCAUCUUCUCUAGAUCCACCAAAGUGUCUUGGGCAAGCUACACAAAGACAUCCAGCGUCAGCAGCUAAGAGUUGGUCCAGAUGUUGGUUUGUGUGGGAUGAUUCUGUAGAAAGAUCCAGCUUUUAGGGAAGUAAGAACUAGCUGCUGGAACAGUUCCCUCACCCUCGGGCUCCCCAGUUGAAAGAGGCUAAUGUGGGGUUUUUUGGACACAACUAUUUGGUAGGUCCUGAAUUCCUGAUUGCCUUUUAAAAAAUCUGAAUCCUUAUCUACAACUGCAAUCGAAGUUCUGUUCUAGGGACUAAUGUUCCAGAAACAUGGUUUCCCAGGGUUCAAGUUAAUAUUACUGUAUUUUGUAAAGGUGGAUCUGAGGAGUUCCUAUUGUGGCACAGCAGAAACAAAUCCGACUAGUAUCCAUGAGGAUGCAUGUUUGAUCCCUGGCCUCGCUCAGUGGGUUAAGGAUCUGGCAUUGCUGUGAGCUGUGGUGUAGGUCACAGACGUUGCUUGGAUCUAGCGUUGCUGUGGCUGUGGCAUAGGCCAGCCACUGCCGCUCUGAUCCAGCCCCCAGCCUGGGAACUUCAUGUGCCGUGGGUGCAGCCCUAAAAAAAAAAAAAAAAAAAAAAAAAAAAAAGAUGGAUCUGACUAUAAUCAAGAAGGCGUUUCCCCAUGAGCAGCUGUUCCACCUGUGUUCUCUGAGGUCCACACUGGCUGUCCUUGCCUGUAGGACAUUUUGCUCUAUUGCAUUUUUUCUGCAUGUGGAAGUACUAUAACGGCUAAGUGACAUUUCUGCCUCUCACCAUCCUUAUUUCCUUUGUGGGAACUUCCUUUCUCUUUUCUAUGUGUUUCCAGGGGGCUGCCAAUCAGGCCGCGCUGUCCUCCAGUGCAGACCCGGACACCUGACCCAAGCUGGGCCAAAUCUAGUGCUACACCCCCCUUGCAUCUGCGCUUGCUCCAGGGGCUGCCAGAGUUGACAUCUCCUCUGUCCUCUGAUUGCAUUGAGAUGGAAAUUGCAGGUCACCAAGAGACAGACUAAUCAGAGUGUUUUGCUCUUUCUCCAUCUCUCCAAAAUCACAAUGCAAGAUUUUGCUCCUAUUGUUCCUAUUCCUACAUGAAGGUGGAUUCUUCAGUUGCUCUGAUGAGCACAGAUCCCUGGAGCCGGUAUGGUUUACCCAGUGACAGGGUCAGAUAACAAAACGUCUGCAAACAUGACCAGAAAACCACUUCAAAAGAUUGGAAUGUUAUGACCUUUUUAAUGCCUUAGGGCAGAAACAAGUCCUGUUUGUUCAUUUGUUUAUUAUCUUAUUUUAUCUUAUUUGGGACACCUAUAGGGCUUUUCACUGAUCUUUCAUAGAAACAGACAUUGGUAGGAGUUCCCAUUGUGGCUCAGGGGGUUAAGAGCCUACCAUAGUGGGCAUCCAUGAGGAUGCAGGUUUGUUCCCUGCCCUUGUUCAGAGGAUUAAGGAUCCGACGUUGCCGCAAGCUGUGGUGUGGGUCACAGCUGCAGCUCUGAUUCGAUCCCUGGCCUGGGAACUUCCGUAUGCCACAUGUGUAGCCAUUAAAAAGGGGGAAAAAGAAUAAAGAAAGAAAAAAAGAAACUGACA
rnacentral:lncRNA from 1 species